rnacentral:rRNA from 1 species
UGCGUAGGGUGCAAGCGUUAAUCGGAAUUACUGGGCGUAAAGCGUGCGCAGGCGGUUAUGCAAGACAGAUGUGAAAUCCCCGGGCUCAACCUGGGAACUGCAUUUGUGACUGCAUGGCUGGAGUGCGGCAGAGGGGGAUGGAAUUCCGCGUGUAGCAGUGAAAUGCGUAGAUAUGCGGAGGAACACCGAUGGCGAAGGCAAUCCCCUGGGCCUGCACUGACGCUCAUGCACGAAAGCGUGGGGAGCAAACAGG